GUCUACUGCCAUACCACCCUGAACAUAUUGGAUCUCUUCUGAUCUCUGAAGCUAAGCGGAGUCGGACCUGGUUAGUACUUGGAUGGGACAAUUCACAGACACUUCAGACAUACUGAACU
ensembl:rRNA 5S_rRNA 5S ribosomal RNA